rfam:Granulicella tundricola MP5ACTX9, complete genome.
GGGGGCGUCACGGCUUCGACGGGAUUGCUUGCGGCAGAGAGGCAUGCCGGGGUGUGGACACCCGUAAUCGCUCACAAAACUAUAAGUGCCGAACCUCAGUUCGCUCUUGCUGCUUAAUUAAUUAAGUGGCCGAUGUCCUCCGCUUCGCCUAUGGGCGGAGAGCCAUCGUCGCACAGUAGGCUGGUCCCAACUGCUCCGCCUGAGCGGACGGGACGAGAUCGAUCAGGCUGGUCGUCAACGUUUCUUCGCCCGUUCCUAGCGUCGAUGACGAGACAAAGAUGAACGUGGAAAAGCAUGAAAGCUCUCUGUUGACUGUAGUUUCGGACGUGGGUUCGACUCCCACCGCCUCCACCA